CCUACGGGAGGCAGCAGUGGGGGAUAUUGCACAAUGGGGGCAACCCUGAUGCAGCGACGCCGCGUGAGUGAAGAAGUAUUUCGGGUUGUAAAGUUCUAUCCGCAGGGACGAAGAAAGUGACGGUACCUGACUAAGAAGCCCCGGCUAACUACGUGCCAGCAGCCGCGGUAAUACGUAGGGGGCAAGCGUUAUCCGGAUUUACUGGGUGUAAAGGGAGCGUAGGCGGGCGCGCAAGUCAGAUGUGAAAACUCCGGGCUCAACCCUGGGACUGCAUUUGAAACUGUGCGGCUUGAGUGUCGGAGAGGUAAGUGGAAUUCCGAGUGUAGCGGUGAAAUGCGUAGAUAUUAGGAGGAACACCAGUGGCGAAGGCGGCUUACUGGACAGUGACUGACGCUGAGGCGCGAAAGCGUGGGGAGCAAACAGGAUUAGAUACCCGAGUAGUC
rnacentral:rRNA from 1 species